rnacentral:rRNA from 1 species
UGCCACAGCCAUAUCACCCUGCAGCCCAAGACCAGUUACUCACUGAAACUAAGCAGGGUUGAGCCUGGUCAGUACUUGGAUGGGAGAUCACAUGGGAAAACCAGGUUGCUGUUUGAA